ACUCCUGGACUCAAGCACUCCCUCUGUGUUGGCUUCCCAAAGUGCUGGGAUUACAGGCAUGAGCCACUGCGCCCAGCCCCAUCAGAUCUUGACAGUUCUCCAUAAGGAGUACUCAUUAUUAUCACGUGAAAUCAAAAUGAGGAAACUGACUUCUUUAUUACUUCCCUCAAGCUUGUUGAGGUAUUUCAUUUCAACAAGCACUAGUUUGCUAAAGUUGGACCCAGAUCUCUCACUCUUGUAAAGAAAGUACAGUAUUUUUUUUCUUACUCUGAUGGAAAAAGAUGAAAAGUGAUGCCACAACCCAAAACUAAAUCUGGCAGUAACUGAUACAUUCCUCUAGGAAGAAUCCAGCAGAAAGCUGCACAGGGAAAAUCUUGGUAUCUCUUCAGUUCACAGCCUGACCUGGUUUGGAUUUGAGGAACAGAGAGGACCACAGAAAAGGAGACAAGGAAAGGGAACAGAUACUUCCAGGAAGGUGUGAGACAAUGGGGGCACUAAAUUCUCCUAUAUUGCUACAAACAGAGGGACCAAAAUGUAGAAUGAGUUUCUCCUUGCAGAACCUGAUGUGAUUCCACUGCAUUGAUGAGAUUCUACUGAUAAGCUCCAAUAAAGAACAGCUGGCAACUGCUUUGGAGUAGACUCUGCCUUAUAGGAAAGCCCAGGAGUGGCUCAUUAGUCCUAAGAUGAUACAGAGGCCAGAUAUCUAAGUCAAGUCUGUGGAGCUAUGUGGACAGAGGCUCAAAGACCCUCUCCUGAGACAGUAAAGGGAAAUAUACCCACUCUACAGACCUCACUACUUUAAAAGAAAGCCUAGCACUUAGUGGGACUGUUUGGAGUUUGCAGGUGAAACAUGACUUACCCUGGUAUUUUGGUCAGCUCUGUGUACAAACUGACAAAGAAAAUCUGUCACCAAAUUUAUUUGGAGGGUGGGGUGGGACCUGGUGGGGAGUAACUUGGGCAGCAGGUACAAUGGAAAUAGUUUAAUAGGCAUGUUGGCAGCCCCCUAAUUUGGGUCUGUAAACCCCACGGCUUUUGGGAACUACAGGUAUAUCUUACUUUUAUCUAUGCUGUAUGGGGCCUGCAGCAAAGGGAGGCAGCCUCUGCCCAGAUCACACCCCUUGGGGCACUGAUUUCAAGGGUGUGGCUCCCUGCUACCUUCUGCUUGAGAUACCGCUGCUGUCCUACACCUAAACCUUAGAGAAAACUCCUAGUUAUCAUUGCACCCAGAUAUUCCCAUCUUGCAUUGGUCCCCUUGUGUACUAAAGACAGAAUUGAAAAUGCACAGAUUUCUCAUAUUAAAUGGAAGUGGAACACUUCAUGGGGCAAGUCUGGUCUCAUAGGUAAUUCUCUUUACACAAGUAAGUUGGACCUCACCUUUAGAGCCUUCUUGUACCUAUCUUGAUUACUCACAAGGUCAGCUUUUGACCCUCUGGAGAACACCCCC